rnacentral:rRNA from 1 species
GAAGGGUGCAAGCGUUACUCGGAAUUACUGGGCGUAAAGCGUGCGUAGGUGGUGCGUUAAGUCUGUCGUGAAAGCCCCGGGCUCAACCUGGGAAUGGCGAUGGAUACUGGCGCGCUAGAGUGCGGUAGAGGAGAGUGGAAUUCCCGGUGUAGCAGUGAAAUGCGUAGAGAUCGGGAGGAACAUCAGUUGCGAAGGCGGCUCUCUGGACCAGCACUGACACUGAGGCACGAAAGCGUGGGGAGCAAACAGGAUUAGAUACCCUGGUAGUCCACGCCCUAAACGAUGCGAACUGGACGUUGGGAGCAACUAGGCUCUCAGUGUCGAAGCUAACGCGUUAAGUUCGCCGCCUGGGGAGUACGGUCGCAA